rnacentral:rRNA from 1 species
AUUGAACGCUGGCGGCAUGCCUAACACAUGCAAGUCGAACGAUCACAGGUCUUCGGAUGCUGACUGGUGUCGAACGCGUGAGUAAUACUUCCGCACGUGCCCGCUCGCUGUGGAUAACGAAUCAAAAGCUUUGCUCAUACCUCAUACCAUCUACUGUUUAAAGCGGGGGAUCUUCGAACCUCACGCCGACCUAGCGGCCACUGAUAGAUUAGGUAGUUGUUCGGGUAAAAGCUUACCAAGGCGACGAUCUGUAGCUGGUCUGAGAGGAUGAUCAGCCACACUGGAACUGAGACACGGCCCAGACUCCUACGGGAGGCAGCAGUGGGGAAUUUUGGGCAAUGGGCGAAAGCCUGACGCAGCAAUGCCGCGUGAAGGAUGAAGGUCUUCGGAUUGUAAACUGCUUUUGUACGGAAAGAAAAGACUUUUACUAAUAAGUAGGGGUCAUGACGGUACCGUAAGAAAAAGCACCGGCUAACUACGUG